rnacentral:tRNA from 1 species
UCCCUUAUAUCUCAUUCGGUAAAGAGUCUGCUUGUGAUGCAGGAGACCUGGGUUCGAUUCCUGGGUCAGGAA